GGCCUGAUGGUCUAGUAGUAUGAUUCCUUGUUAGGGUCGUUAUGCCGUCGAGGAGGUCCCGGGUUCAAUUCCCGGUCAGGCCC